CUACGGGGGGCAGCAGUGAGGAAUAUUGCGCAAUGGGGGAAACCCUGACGCAGCGACGCCGCGUGGAUGAUGAAGGCUUUCGGGUCGUAAAAUCCUGUCAGAAGGGAAGAAAUGCUAUAUGCCUAAUAUGUGUAUAGUUUGACGGUACCUUCAAAGGAAGCACCGGCUACCUCCGUGCCAGCAGCCGCGGUAAUACGGAGGGUGCAAGCGUUGUUCGGAAUUACUGGGCGUAAAGCGCGCGUAGGCGGCCUUUUAAGUCAGAUGUGAAAGUCCACGGCUCAACCGUGGAAGUGCAUUUGAUACUGGGAGGCUUGAGUACUGGAGGGGAUGGUGGAAUUCCCGGUGUAGAGGUGAAAUUCGUAGAUAUCGGGAGGAAUACCGGUGGCGAAGGCGACCAUCUGGCCAGAUACUGACGCUGAGGUGCGAAAGCGUGGGGAGCAAACAGGAUUAGAUACCCGCGUAGUC
rnacentral:rRNA from 1 species